rnacentral:tRNA from 3 species
GUCCUAGUAGCUCAGCUGGAUAGAGCAACGCCCUCCUAAGGCGUAGGUCGGGGGUUCGAAUCCCUCCUGGGACG